UAACAGAACUGUCAACACACACACAAACAUGUAGUAGCUUAACCAAAUGACAUUGUAUUAUAUCAUAUUUCAACAAUGUAAAUAAAUUAUAUGGAUAUAUAUAAUUUUAUUGCUAUUAUAUGGAAAAUGUUUUGUACCUAAGAAAAAGCCCAAAGUAGAAGCAGCCGGGUUGGCCCAUAAGAAAAAAUCCUAAUCAAUAUUAGGACAGUGCUUUUAUUUGACAAAUUGAGAUGUCACUAAAUACCUAUUGUGCAAGCUUUUGAAUUACGUGUACUUCAUUAGGGUAGGUGGGAGGAAAAAAACCAGGCUGGUUUUAAAACCAUCCAGGUAUGCAUUUAUAAAGAGUGUGAGAGGCAGUAGUAGACUCUAUUAAGUGCUAUGCAUUUUCAGGUUGUACCAAGACACAAUGGCAGAUUCUCUAAAAAAUAUAAAGAUCAGUUGUUACUCACAUCUGCCUCCACCUUAAGCAAAAACAGCAAGUUCUUUGGUAGGUAGACAACGGGUAUAAAGAAGAGAAACUGGGCAGUCUUUAUAUUGACAAAAGCAGAUAGCAAUUUUAGGUGGUGUGCUAGGCUAAAAAAAAUGCAUAAGAUAAACUAGCUAGCUUUACCUAACAGUUUUGGUGCAAUUUGUCCUAUCCUAUGUAAUACAAUACCAUCAUAAUGGCACUUGUUCAGCAGACUAUUCUGUAUUGUAACAAAAUGUAUUUUAUUUCUAAAGGUUAAGAGAAAACAAAAAUAUCCUAAACUUCUAUCUUAUUCAGAGAGCAACAUGCAAACAAUUUAUACUCCUGCUAUUAAAAAAUGCCUUUAUUUACUUGCUAUGUGUCCUAACCCUGAUCCAUAGAUUAAAUGCUUAAUCAGAAGAGACUCUGUAUGAAAAACCACUUAAAGUCUUUCCCCGUCUCUUGUUCAGCGUACAUAAAAAAUGGAGCAGUAUAUUUGUUCCCACAAGUAGAAUGUGAGAGUACAGAUGCCUUGCUCCCUUGGAGUAGUUGUUCUUUGUUUCUUUUUUAUUCUGACAUGCUCACCAUAUAUUUUAAAUAAGCAAACUAUGCCCAACACCCCAUAUUCAUGCUCAAGUAAACUAUCAUUGCCAUAAUUCAAUAUUUUUUUGUUUUCCCUGUGGCUUCACAGUUUAUGUGGCAUGAAGUACACUGGUAUUAAAUUGCAAGGAAACAAAACUUAGCGUGAGACUGGGAAGAUACAAGUGUUGGCUAAGGAAUAAUAGCAUAGGCUGGGAGAAAGGGCUGAAUCUAUAAGAUGUGCUGCUAAUGAUCUGGUUUAAGGACUCUAUACAUAUAUUCCAGGAUACCAGAGGGAAGGGAGAAGGCAGAUAGGAUGCAAGAAUUCAGAGGAACUUAGAGUCAUUAAGCUGGAAAAAAACUAUUUGAUUAAUUCUCUGCAGCAACAUAAAAUAACCUUAUUUGAGUAAAACAAGGCUUCACCUACAUUAAUUCACAGGGAAUUUAUGCUACCUUAGAUACAAACUUUAUACUAACUUGUUCACUCCAGGGAAGGUUCAUAUUUUGGUCUGGUUUCCCCCACUGUUUUUUUAAAGCAAUAAUAGCCUUGUAGGUUGGCUGCAGUGUCAGCAUUUAUCUUGAAACUCUUGGAUAUUAGUUUUGACUGCAGUCACCUUUCUGACAAGUGUUAUUGCGAGUGUGGUUUAUAUCCCUGUUCAGGAUGAUUUCUAAUGAUAAUGCUGUGUCUACCUCACUGCUUCACACUAAAUUAUAGAUACCACGAUGACAGGACAAACUAUAUUCAAGUGCUAAACUCUACUCCCUUUGUGUGAUGUCAGUGCCUUCCACACACUGUGAGUGGAAUUAAAAAUUAGGAAGGGGAAAUAUGCAAAACAUUUCUGCUUAAAAAUAAUGUUCUGUCAGUUAUUAAACAAGUGAUAUUUCAUUUAAUCAGCUCAAGGGGAUUAUUUUAAAUGAAAAGGGAGAAACUACAAUUUUAUUAACACAUUCCUGCCCUAGAGUCCUACUGUAAUAAUUCCUUACCUGACUAAAUUAAAAAGUUAUAAUUCAGUCUGUCGACAGCAUAGAGUUAUGAAUCAUCACGUUUCAUUACAGUCUGUUUGGGGAUGGCAUGCAGUUCAAAGAAUCAGGUCUAUCUUUGGCAUAUAUAUUUAUAGUAAAUACUGCAAAGGCACUAAAAUUAGUUGAAAUAGAUUACUGUAUAGUACUGUUAAGAAAGGGGUCUACAAUGGUUGACUGGCACUGGCCACCAAGCUAAAAAUUGUGGUUGCCUACCCCCUGCCCUUUGCAGCCAAUGAAACACUCUCCUUCUCACAGAAAAGGUAGCGGGUUCAGAGGACUUGCCCAUUUGGCUGCUACUUAGCCAAGGAGCUCCAGGAACAUCAACUGAGUGAUCAUCAAGGAAAUAUCCCAUUUCCCCUUCCUGCUAUGAGAGGUGUGGCAAAAGGGUUGCUGGGACAACAGCUGAGAUAACAAAGCAGGCAAAACACUCCCAGCCUUCUUGCAAGAAUCUUACAGCAUCUGGAGCAAUUUCUGCCCAGUUUUUCAGCUCCAAGGUUGCAAAGAAGACUCAGCUCACCACACUCCUCAAACUAUGGUGGUUCAUGUACCAUGGCGGGUAUGGCAAACAAAGAUGUAGAAACCUGAUUAAGAACAUGGGGAAUGAUCUUACUGGAUCAGCCCAGAAGUCCAUCUGAUCCAGUCAAUUGCUCCUGUUUCCCCCCCUCAGCAUCUAGUAAUCAGAGGUCUUCUUCUUUGGCGAUCACUCGUAGCUGAGUAAGAUUGUCUUCCAUGAAUACUGUCUUAACAGUGAGUCCGUAAGUGACUGUGGAGGCCAAUUCUGCAUCCACGCGUCCUUCCACAGUGGGGACGUAGGUUUCUGGGUGGGAGUUGAUCACGGUGACGGUUUACCAAACAUGCCAUCCUCUUAGUUUGUUUCUCUUUUUGCCCUGAGUUUGUGGUUCUUCAAAGUCCACGACACGUUUGGUAAAUGCUGUUCUCCAAUUGGAGCACUUGCAGGCCAGUGUUUCCCAGUUAUCAGUGCUUAUGCUACAUUUUUUUAGAUUUGUCUUGAGAACAUUUUUAAACCUCUUUUGUUGUCCACCAGUAUUUCACUUUCCAUUCUUAAGUUGGGAAUAGAGUAGUUGCUUUGGAAGAUGAUAAUCAGGCAUCAGCACAACAUGACCAGUCCAACAAAGUGGAUAUUGAAGAAUCAUUGCUUCGACACUGGUGAUCUUUCCUUCUUCCAGUACACUGGCAUUAGUUCGCCUGCCUUCCCAAGUAAUGCAUAAAAAAAUUUGGAGACACCAUUGAUGGAAUCUUUCAGGGAGUUGGAGAUGGCAUUUAUAAAGUGGUCCAUGUUUCACAAGCAUACAGUAAGGUUAGUAGUACAAUAGAUUUGUAAACAAGCAAUUUGACUUCCCUGUGAAUGUCCCGGUCCUCAAACACUCUGUGCUUCAGGCGGGAGAAAGCUGCAGUUGCAGAGCUCAGGCAAUGCUGGAGGUAUGCUUCCACUGAACAUGGAGGUUCUUCCCGCAGUUCUUAUGGAUAAUACCCAUUAAUAGACUUAUCCCCCCAUUGUCCAAUCCACUUUGAAAGCCAGUAGUUCAUCCACACUAUUGCUUCAACACUUGCAGCAAUAAAUCCCAUUAUUUAACACUUCUGUUUUAACUAGCACUUAUUUUCAUUGCCUUAAACCUACUGCCAGUUAGUUUCCCCAAAUUCUAGUGAUUGAGUGACACAGAGUAUUCCCCCACCUUGCUGUAUGGAUUUACAUGUAAGCAAUUGAGUGUAUUAACUUCUCUAUCUAGAACAUAAAUUUCAGCUGAAAGCAUGUGAAAUGGUUAAAGAAUAAAAUAUCUGCUAUCCAUUCAAGCAGAAAGUGUACUGAAAAUAUUCAAAGUAAAUGAUAGGGAAAUGGAAGGUAGCUAAAUAUUAUAAAUAGAUAGAAACUGAAAGAGUGGUAUUUUUUAUAACAUUAGUCCCUGAUGAUUUUUUUUCAUUUAUCUUUUGAGAGAGACAUUCUUAUUACAAGAAGUGUUCACUAAAAAAUUAAUUGUUUAUUAAGAAUUAAUUAAAAAGGUUUGCAUUGGUCUAAUUGAACUGGGAAUAUCUUUCGCACUUCUUUGAACUUGCAGGUGCUGCUGUGGUUGUAGUUAAGACGUUAUAUUAUUGCUUUACUCCACCGCAAAGGGUUGUGUCAAGAAAAUCUUUAAUAUAAAAAUAAAAAGGAGUUCAUGCAUAAAGCAUGACGCCCUGAAGCAUAUUAGAUCUGUUUAUCUCCCUGUUUAAAAUGAACAGUACCUGGUAUAGUUUACAUAACAAGGCAGGGAUCAGCUUGAUAAAGCAUUUAUAUCACCAGGGGAACACACUGGCUCAUUUCCUCAACACCUUUCUGCAUGACUAGCUUGCCAGCUAGUAUAAUAGCAAACAAAGUUUUAAUAGGUCAAGAACAGAGUGGUCGCUUGUAUUAAGGUAAAGCAUGUUCCGGAUUGUCCAAUUGCUCUGGGAGUGGGGAGAGAAAUACUGUAUAUUUUUCUGCAUAGCUUUAUGAGAUUGUUUAUUGUGUUAAUUAUUGGUUGGAUCAUUACAUGCAUUAAGACUUCAUAAAGGGUAGCCAUGUCUGUUUCAGCAAAAACAACAUAAAGUCUUGUGGCCCCUUAAAGAUUAACAAGAAUAUUAUGGCAUAAGCUUGCAUGGACCAGAGGCUGCUCCAUCAAUUGCAAGUAGGGUCAAGUGGUUGUGAAAUGUAAACAGAUUGUGACAAGUCAAUUAAAGCUUAUAUGUGUGCAAAAUAAAUCCAGUGACUAUUCACAACAGCAGUAAGUGGUGAUUUGAUGAAGUGGACUUUAACUCACAAAACUGUAUGCCAGGGGUUGGGAACUAGACCCAGACAGUGGCUAGAUCUCUAAUUCCUCCUCAUUUCACAGGUGAACUUUGACAGGUGGGCAGGACCACCCACCUGGCAUUCACAGGGCGUAAUAUUGAUGCCAAGUGAUUGAAACCUAUCAAAGUUCAAAUGAGGUCACUGAUGGGUGGUUUCCACAACCUCAUUUGAAAAUGCCGGGGGGGUUUUAGUGCCAAUCAGCUGAUUCAAACUGGCUUACUGUAACCACUGAUCAGAAGUUACAGGGUGCCCCUUUGAAGUCCAUUUUGAGGAAGGGGUUUAGAUUCCUCUGCCGAGGGGAAAGUGCCCCAUUUGGAGAAAGCAGUUCAUCCAAAUGGUUUUCAGAGGCACUCUCUGUAAUCAGCUGAUGAGCAAGCCCCUUUGAAGUCAUGCUCCCAGGUGAUUGGAUUUAAACAACUUCCUCCAAAUGGUGCACUUUUUCUGUCUGCAGACAUACCCCUCACAUACCUGAUAAGAAAUGGAUUCUCAAGAAGAGACUCAUCUGAUUAAAAACUGAGUAAUGGUCUUUCCAUUGCCAACCGUCUGAAAGGGGAAAUGAUAGAUAUUUGAAGUUAAUAAGUGAAGAAUGGAUGGGCUAGUGUUGCUUCUAGGGAUGGGAGCAUGAUCCGCAGGAGAUCAGGGGGCAUGGGGUGCCCAAAGUUUUUUCAAAGAGGGCCAGAUUUGAUGAAGUGAACAUGCGUGAGGGCUGACCACCCCAGGUCAUAUACUGCCACGGGGGCCGGAUUAAAUUGAGCGGUGGGCUGGAUUAGGCCCCCGAAAUGGACUUUGGACAUGCCUGGGGCAAGGUAUCCAUGCAGAAGUCCAGUGAAUCACUGCCACCUAAUCUCAGAGUUGGUUGCCUGAACAGGUUUGUGUGAGGUUUCAAGACAAGUAAUGGUUUGAGUGUGGUGCCCCAGUUAUGUAUUUUCUACAGCAACAAAAAAUAUAAUGGAUCUUCCUUCUAGUUAGUAAGCAGUAUAUGGCAGAAUGCAGAUGAAAUGGGUUUGAGAAAAAUAAUCAGAAGUCUGAUUAUUUAGAUCACAAAUUCACACAAGGUUUGGCAAACUGCAUACUAGUUUAAGCUUAACUAUUAUUGUGAUUGCUAGAUUUCACAAUAUCAGUACUUUAGCUUCUAUUUUCAAGUGUUCUUUCUUUUUGUGGUUCCACUUCCUAGAGUGGAAGCAAAUUCUAUAAAUCAAUACUGCUAUUCCUCCCGGGAAAACAACAAAAACAUAAUCUGGUUUUCUGAGAGCUUCCCUCCCCCUUUCUAAUUAUUAAUUCACUUAAUUGUCUUGAUGUCUGGCUUAUGAAGUUGCUGAGUCUUUGUGAUUAUACUUCGGAAAGCCCCUUACUGUAACAAGGAAAUGCUAUCUAAAUUACUUAUGCAAUAAGAAUAAUAAUAUCUGACUUUAAGGACACUUGCUUUAUGUGAUAUUUCUAUCAGCUCAUUUGUUUGCAUGAUUCACUUCUCUUCUAAUGAGGAAAGUUGAUGGCUCAUGAUUUUCUAUCAAAAAUUAAUCAUUGUGUUGUGGUUGCAUUAGUGUUGUGUAAAACAAGACCCUCCUAGGGAGCUUUUUGUAGAUGUGAAUGGGAGUGACAUUGCACACACAUUCACGUAUAGUU